GAACUUUCCUGUGGUUAUAAAAUGGGAGAGUGGUCUUUUGUCUGUUUGCACUGAUUGCGAGCAGACGGGUAGAAGUGUUGUGCAGCCCUGUGGAGUGGUGCCGGGUUAGUCCCUGAUCCGCUGUCUGACCUAAGCAAGCCGGAGAGUAAAGAAUGAACUUGGCAAAGAUGCACAUCCCUUUGAAAAGAUUUCAAGUCUGCAAACUUUCGAUUACCCUGUUUAUACUAGCUUGUAUUUACUGGAAAAAGCCAUGGAGAUAAAAUUAGUAGUCCUCAGCCUGCUACUUGCUAUGACAACAGCAGAUCCAAUGAUGUUGAA